rnacentral:misc_RNA from 1 species
UCAAAAACAAGAGUCUUCCUCAACCACAAUUGUUACGGCUAAAAGAUUGGUUCUCAAAAUAAAAUUAUAAAGUCCUUCAUAUAAAAGGAGACUUGAACCUUAUCUCUUCACCUUCUCAUAAGACCAGAAACAGCUCAACUCAUCACUUCCAUCCAAUCCAUUCUACUCAUUUUUAUUGCUAGUUCAUCCAUUCAUGUCUCUUUCUUAAAUCCAAAUUUAUGUCAAAAAAAAAAAAUCAUCUUUUCCA